GGGCACACUUGAGCUGUAAAUGCAUCCCUUAGCUUAGGGAGUUUUUUAAGUGGCAAAGAGGUGCUAUAUGGCCUGUUCUAGGGACAGCUGUGAGCACAUGGAUAAAAGGUACAGCAUCAGUCAGUUAUUAAAUGAUACUUUAGACUCUGGUAAUAAGUAACAAUUAACAAAAAAAUACCCUCAAGCAAGUUUCCCCUCUGGGAAGGAUGGAAACUUGAUGCUGAGAGCCAAAAACGCCAGUUCACAUGUCCUGAGGUAGCUUUUCCAGAAGAAAAAUACAGAAAUACUGCCUGUGAGGGUGUCACACUGCAGCCCCUGUCGCAGCACAGUGCGCCUUUUCACAAGUUUAUCUUUUCUAGGAUCAGUUUACUACCUACCUCCUUGCUUUACAGAAUCAUACUGCUGUUUAAUAGACACCUAGAGAGAAAAUAUAUCGGGUCAGGUUCUUUGCUGGUGUGAGUGGGUCGGUGAUGAUGCACCAACGGUCAAAAGGGAUAAAAAAUGGCGCAUUUAGCUAAAUAUAUGAAAUACAUAUAUAUAUUCUGUAAAGGAUAAGCUGGAAAUCAUAGUAGUAUAUUCAAGAAGAGCCAAGGGGAAAAGUGAACGUGAAUAAAAAGGCAACCACAAAGCUGAGAGGUUUAAAGUUAAAGCCACGUUUAGAUAAACACUAAGGCUUAAGGAGCUGCUUUACUGUAACUUGUUUGCCAGUGCUGCCAAUUCCUGCUGGCAUGGGAAGAGGCACCGGUUCCCCGCAAAUGGCCACUGCUGUUGGCUCUUAUGUGGGGGGCCGAAGGGUCCAAAUGCAGCUGCCCCCUCCCUGGGGCAGGGCUGGUGAGUUGGUCUGGGAGGGGGACCACUGGGAUGUGUCUGCAAAUCCCUUCUCCUCUUCCUCCUCUGCAUGUGGCACCUUCUGAAAUGCUGCAGACAAUGGCAAAAGGAGAGGUGGGGCUUCCAGAGUGUAAUCUUGGCCUCUCUUGGUCAGUGGGAAUGCUGCCCAGGCUCCUGUCCAGAUGGGAAUUCACUCCAUGUCCUGAGCUCCUACCUCAAAACCCCUUUGUUUGGCUCAUGCCAGGUGCUCUCCUGCAAAUCUCAGCCUUUGCAUGAGAUGUCAGCAGUGACACCGUGCAGGUGGCACUGCUGUUAUUGGCAAUACUGGAGAGGACUUGGUGUCAGAAAUGCCUUACCAGAUAAGAAGGGUGGAGACAUGCAAGAGCCCAUGUGUGGUCACGUCCCAAGAGGAAGAGGAAGGUAAUCUUGAUCUCUGCUGCAUGCCUGCAGGAAGAGAUCUCGCAUGGAGGCUCCCAUCCCAGC
rnacentral:lncRNA from 1 species